ensembl:lncRNA
ACAUGGAUAAUAAUAAUAUUUUAUUUUAUUUUGCACAAAAUCUGUAUAUUCGAAUGAUUCCUGAAGGAUCACAAAUUCCAUUACAUGAAUAAAUUACAUUUUAAAUGAUUUUAAAAUAGGAAUUAGUUCUUUUAAAUUGUAAUAAUAUUUCACCAUAUUACUGUUUUUAUUGUAUUUUUCAUAAAAGUAAAUGCAGCCUUGGUAAACAUAAGAGACUUUUUUCAAAAAUCUUAAUUCCAGAUGUUUGACUGGUAGGGUGAAUAUAUUUAUUGUCACUGAUGUACCUGGAAACAGGUGUGGAGCAGAGUGAGGUGUGUGGUCAGUGGUCAACCAGGACCUUUAACCCCAUGUUCAGAGUCUGUGGCGCCUUCUACUCUGAGAUACAGGUGUGAUAAAUGACUCUUCUAAGACUGACAAAUUGAUAUUGAGUUGAAUGCUUUGAGCUCAAUAUUUUGCCUUGACCCAAUUGAGGCCCUAAAGCUCGCUCACUGUGACCAUUUUAAUGAAUUUCUGUAGCGGAAAUAGGCCACGGGUGAGGCGGGCAGGGGCUUUGACGAGAGUGUGCGUACCUCCGGGAGCAUCCCUCUCCUUCAACCUCGCCUCAUUAGUCUAACUGGGCAGUUGCAGAGCUGUUGUGUGUCACAUCUAUUUUGGUUCCCCUAAACUCCAAAGUGGCCCCUCAACUUAUCUUCCUGUAUUCUCCAUUUCCCCUCACACCACCCAGGAGACGAGGUGGAAGAGAUGCGAUUGGCCCCUGCCCCGUCAUCAUCAAGGAUACAGGUUGGCAAGGAGGAAUCGGACAUUAAUGCGGUCGGCUAACUGUGUCAAGGACGCAGAAGCCAAACCUGGUACAGUUCACCUGUGAGAGACCUGAGAGCACGAACGCAGAGAGGAACUGACCCACUAAACCAACUUACAACUCUACAUUCUGCACUCUUCCGUAAAUUAAAGCAGUGGGAGACUGAUGAGUCCACCUGGACUCCCUGGUGUGUGAGAUGUCCCUGUGAGAGUGAAACACACCGUCCACUCCGUCUCACUAAGUGUGUGUUUGGAGUCAGAGGCACAAUCCAAGCUGCUGUGCCCACAGAUGGUCACACUACAGGAACAACAUUCUGUUCUGUCUCCAAGGGUGAGAAAGAGAAGGAAAAAUGUACUUUUUUUUCUUUCUUGAGAGAGAGAAACAACCACAUUGUCUGACCUAAAAUGCAUACAGUGUGGUUAACAAGCGUCAUCAUUAUUAUCAUGACAGGUUAAAAUUGCAUUAUUAAAAGAGGUCUUUUUUUUUUUUUUGCGGACAUAUCAGCUUCUCAAGUUCACACAGGUGUCCUAAGAGAAUAAACUCAAGUGUAUCUUCA